rnacentral:lncRNA from 1 species
GCGAGCGGCAGAGCGCUGGCCGGCAAUGGCGCCGCGGUGGUUGCUGCUGCUGCGGCUGCGCUAGCGAGCGGAGAAGAAGAGAGGGAGCGGGAGGGGACAGUAUGGCGCCUGGGGGCGCGGGGUGCCGUCCCGACCGGGGUAAGCCGGUCGGCCAGCGGCGCAUCCACGACGCCGGCGUACGGCCGCCACAUGGCCGGCGUCAGGUGGAGCAAGACGGGCACCCGCGUGCGGGAGAGGGGAGGGGGAAACUGGGCGGCGCGGCUUGGCUCGGCCGAAAGGGAGGCGGUUGGCCCAGCAGCGCCUGCCCCUUUUUCUUUUUUCUUUUUUUUUAAUUUCUUUUCUCCAAAAAGCUCAAAUAAGAUUUGUGAAGCCUUUGCAAAUCAUUUUAGGGGUUGGAGUAAAAAGAAGAAAGGUUCCCCACAAAAUUUCCUGCAAUUUUUCUUUAACAUGUAAAUUCAAAUUCCAAACAGAAUUUGAAUCACACACCAAAACUAGUUCUAGGUUUUCAAUUAAAUUCAUUUUAGGGAAUUUUGUAUAAAAUCCAUUCCUCAAUUUCCAUAGCUCCAAAAAUUUCACAAAAUUACUCUUAAUUCUUCUAACACCUAUUUCAACUUGUUUUAGGCAUCACAAGGGUUUUUGAACAAACAUACUAUUUCUAUCAUAUUUAGUUCAUAUGAAAUAAAGCACAUAAAAUCACACUUGAAUGAAUGGCAUGCUCAUGGAUGCUAUGCUUGAUGAGAAUGCUUAUGGAUGAGUUUAUGAGACUAAGUGC